rnacentral:rRNA from 1 species
AGUGAACGCUGGCGGUAGGCCUAACACAUGCAAGUCGAACGGCAGCACAGUAAUAGCUUGCUCUUACGGGUGGCGAGUGGCGGACGGGUGAGGAAUACAUCGGACUCUACUUUUUCGUGGGGGAUAACGUAGGGAAACUUACGCUAAUACCGCAUACGACCUACGGGUGAAAGCAGGGGAUCUUCGGACCUUGCGCGAUUGAACGAGCCGAUGUCGGAUUUGCUAGUUGGCGGGGUAAAGGCCCACCAAGGCGACGAUCCGUAGCUGGUCUGAGAGGAUGAUCAGCCACACUGGAACUGAGCCACGGUCCAGACGCCUACGGGAGGCAGCAGUGGGGAAUGUUGGACAAUGGGCGCAAGCCUGAUCCAGCCAUACCGCGUGGGUGAAGAAGGCCUUCGGGUUGGAAAGCCCUUUUGUUGGGAAAGAAAAGCAGCAGGUUAAUACCACGCUGUUGUGACGGUACCCAAAGAAUAAGCACCGGCUAACUUCGUG